AGUGAACGCUGGCGGUAGGCCUAACACAUGCAAGUCGAACGGCAGCACAGUAAGAGCUUGCUCUUACGGGUGGCGAGUGGCGGACGGGUGAGGAAUACAUCGGAAUCUACUUUUUCGUGGGGGAUACGUAGGGAAACUUACGCUAAUACCGCAUACGACCUACGGGUGAAAGCAGGGGAUCUUCGGACCUUGCGCGAUUGAAUGAGCCGAUGUCGGAUUAGCUAGUUGGCGGGGUAAAGGCCCACCAAGGCGACGAUCCGUAGCUGGUCUGAGAGGACGAUCAGCCACACUGGAACUGAGACACGGUCCAGACUCCUACGGGAGGCAGCAGUGGGGAAUAUUGGACAAUGGGCGCAAGCCUGAUCCAGCCAUACCGCGUGGGUGAAGAAGGCCUUCGGGUUGUAAAGCCCUUUUGUUGGGAAAGAAAAGCAGCAGGUUAAUACCCCGCUGUUCUGACGGUACCCAAAGAAUAAGCACCGGCUAACUUCGUG
rnacentral:rRNA from 1 species